ensembl:lncRNA
GUAAGUGUGGGACUCAUAUUAAAUUGAUCAAGGGCAUUCUUAAACUUUGGCUUGUUUUUCCUGCUCCCGCACGCCAAUGCUUUCUGCGUGUGACACGACCACAGCCCCACGGUAUUAAUAAAAGUGUGUUUGAUUAAGGUUGUAUUCCCGCCGCUAAGAUAUUAAAUUUACACUAUGACUAAACAAGACUGUCCAAUGCUGCAGAGUCAUAACAGAAAAGUAGGAUAGAUGCAUGAAAUGAAUUCAAGUAUGCGUGCCUCGUUUCGUUCUAACAGACCAUAAUGUACGGACAGAAAAAGGCCCAAAAGGAAGGGGGGAGCUGGAGGCCUAGUUAAUGGGACGAUCCCGAACGUUUAAAAUACUGCUAGUUACAGUCCACAAGUCGCUGGGAAACGAUUCAGUUUAGCUCACACUCCUACAGGCACUACGUCACAGGACAGACAACGCUGUUCAGAAAGAAAUAACUUGUUUUGCGUUUCUUAAAAAAAAAAAAAAAAAAAAAAAGGGAUACCAAUAACAUCAAUAAUAAUAAAAAAAAACCAAACAGAACAUCUGGUCAUCCAUCACUAUGUUUUUUUUCCAACAUCCAACAUGUCCCAGUAGUGUCCCCAUGCUUUGAUACAGGGUGAGGGGACACGUGACACGUCAAAGGUCCCCCCACGGUGUCCUGUGCCCACUCUCCCAAAUCACUUGUCUCCUUCUAGAAAGUCUGUUCACACUCAGAGGAAUGUCUCUGUACACGUCAGUUCAUGGACCCUCACACUCCACGCAUGGGAGUGUGUGUUGGUGUAUCAGAAGUCUCUUUGUGGAUAUGACUUGGUAUAUAUAUGUGUGUGUGUGUGUGUGUGUGUGUGUGUGUGUGGGAGGGGGUGGGGGUGGGAUGGGUUGUGUAGACACGUUAAAUUUGCCUGACUCCAUGUGGACCCUUCCUAACAUACCUUAAAAGACGCUGUUGCUCAUGUCAGCAUGCUGCCCAACACCAACACAUCCACAUGGAACACACUAGAACUCAGACAGGUGGUGGAACAAGGGCCAUAGUCUUUCAGUAUGCAUGUGUGUGUUUGUCUGUCUGUCUGUCUGUCUGUCUGUCUGUGUGUCUGUCUGUCUGUAUGUGUGUGUGUGUGUAUGUAUGUGUAUGUGUAGGUAUACAAACAUGUAUGCACACAACUGUGUACAUUUGUAUUUGUGAAUGUGUGUGGUUGAGAGAGUGAGAGAGAGAGAGAGAGAGAAUGUACAUCUAUAUAUUAUAUAUACUCUUUCGUAACUGAGUGUAUGUGUACAACAUGAACAUGUUUAUGUAUGUUUGCAUGGAUGUAUAGGGCUCGCUGCGUGGAUGUGUAUGUAUAGGUCUCCGUCAGUGUGUAAGAAUGGACACACACACACGCAAGUGCGUGUGUAUGCGUGUGCGCGCGCGCUUGUGUGUGUGUGUGUGUGUGUGUGUGUGUGUGUGUGUGUGUGUGUGUGGUGGUAGCAAGCUAGCAGACAGCGGCUCCGUUGGCCUCGCGGCGGCCCUGCUUCUUCAGCAGCUGGAUGCGGUUGUGGCAGUAGAACUUGAUGGCGCGCCAGUCACGCUGGUUGGUCACCAGCAGGGGGCAGAGCUGGAGGCAGCGCUCGCAGUCCGCCUUCGCCGGCACCCGAAGCUCCAUGAUGUUGCGCUUCAGGUGCGUCUCCACAGCCACGCGCUCCGCCUCCGACCACGGCCGCUUCAGCACGCCACGCUUGCCUGGAAGGAACACGACACACACACACACAGACACACACACACACACACAAACAGGCGUAUGAAGGAGACAUUAAGGUUUCAGCACAUUAUAUCAUCCUAACUCCAAUAUACUUUCGCCUUCUGAUGAGUAGAGUUGCAACAGUCUUGGCAAAAGAUGUAAAAUUCCAAAAGCAAGUGUGCUUAACGUACCAUAUCUCACCAUAAUGGACAAACACUGUUUGUGUCAUGUGAUAGCACCUUAUAUGAUAGCAGAUAUUUAGGUAUUUAUGCUACCUUCUGCAGAAAACAAUACUACCCACAGCCAGACAGAUGCAAGGUCUGUUCCUCACCUGAUUUGGGCUGAGCGCUUCUCCUCUUGUGCCCCGCGGGGGUGACUGCAGCAGACUGUGAGCCGCCCCCUUUCUUCUUGGCGGCGGCACUGCCCCCUCCUGCACCCUUCUUGACUACCUCCGGCCGCUCCUUGCCCUUCUCUGCGUCCACGUCCGAGUCGUCCGAGAACGAGUCAGCAGAGUUCCCCGACAUCACUGAGAGAGAGAGAGAGAGAGAGAGAGA